rnacentral:rRNA from 1 species
GACGAACGCUGGCGGCGUGCUUAACACAUGCAAGUCGAGCGGUAAGGCCCUUUCGGGGGUACGACGAGCGGCGAACGGGUGAGUAACACGUGGGUGACCUGCCCUCAGCUCUGGGAUAAGCCCGGGAAACCGGGUCUAAUACUGGAUAUGACUCCAUGACGCAUGUUGUGGGGUGGAAAGCCUUGUGCGGCUGAGGAUGGGCCCGCGGCCUAUCAGCUUGUUGGUGGGGUGAUGGCCUACCAAGGCGACGACGGUAGCCGGCCUGAGAGGGCGACCGGCCACACUGGGACUGAGACACGGCCCAGACUCCUACGGGAGGCAGCAGGUGGGGAAUCUUGCGCAAUGGGCGAAAGCCUGACGCAGCGACG